AAGACUAUACUUUCAGGGAUCAUUUCUAUAGUUUGUUACUAGAGAGGUUCCUCUGAUCGUGUAGAGUACCGGAAACCACGGGGAGGAGACGUGAUGUCCUCAUCUGAGCGUGAAGCUGGCUCUGGGUGCUGCUGUGUGGCAGCUGCUAUUUGCCAUUGAUGAUUGUUCUUCCCCUCUUGGAGAGGAAGAGGGUGGGGGUGUCGUCUGAGUGGUU
ensembl:snoRNA